rnacentral:rRNA from 1 species
UACGUACGAGGCAAGCGUUAUCCGGAAUUAUUGGGCGUAAAGGGCUCGUAGGCGGUUUGUCGCGUCGGGAGUGAAAUCCACUGGCUUAACUGGUGGCUUGCUUUCGAUACGGGCAGACUGGAGGUAUGCAGGGGAGAACGGAAUUCCUGGUGUAGCGGUGAAAUGCGCAGAUAUCAGGAGGAACACCGGUGGCGAAGGCGGUUCUCUGGGCAUGUCCUGACGCUGAGGAGCGAAAGUGUGGGGAGCGAACAGG